AACGCACAUUGCGCCCCUUGGUAUUCCAUGGGGCAUGCCUGUUCGAGCGUCAUUUGUACCUUCAAGCUAUGCUUGGUGAUGGGUGUUUGUCCUGUUCUUUUGUAACUGGACUCGCCUUAAAAUUAUUGGCAGCCGGCAUAUUGGCCUUUGGAGCGCAGCACAUUUUGCGAUCUAAGCCUGUAUACUAGUAUCCAUAAAGCUAAUUUAUCACUUUUGACCUCGGAUCAGGUAGGGAUACCCGCUGAACUUAA
rnacentral:misc_RNA from 1 species